rnacentral:rRNA from 1 species
GGUCACUGCUAUUGGGAUUCGGCUAAGCCAUGCAAGCGGAGGGCGCGGUCGAAAGAUCGUGGCCCCGCACACUGCUCAGUAACACGUAGUCAACCUACCCUUGGGACAGGGACAACCUCGGGAAACUGAGGCUAAUCCCCGAUAGGUGAGGGACGCUGGAAUGCCUCCUCGCCCAAAGCUCCGGCGCCCAAGGAUGGGACUGCGGUCUAUCAGGCUGUUGGUGGUGUAACGGACCACCAAACCUACGACGGGUACGGGCGAUGGGAGUCGGAGCCCGGAGAUGGGGACUGAGACAAGGCCCCAGGCCCUACGGGGCGCAGCAGGCGCGAAAACUCCGCAAUGCGCGCAAGCGUGACGGGGGAAUCCCAAGUGCCGUUGGUCUUAUGAUCGACGGUUUUUAGGAAGUCUAAGAAGCUUCCAGAAUAAGGGCUGGGCAAGACUGGUGCCAGCCGCCGCGGUAACACCAGCAGCCCAAGUGGUGACCACGAUUAUUGGGCCUAAAGCGCUCGUAGCCGGAUCAGCAAGUCCCUUGUGAAAUCGGGCCGCCUAACGGUUCGGCGUGCAAGGGAUACUGCUGGUCUUGAGGCCGGGAGAGGUCGGAGGUACUCCUGGGGUAGCGGUGAAAUGCUCUAAUCCUAGGGGGACCACCAGUGGCGAAGGCGUCCGACCAGAACGGACCUGACGGUGAGGGGCGAAGGCUAGGGGAGCGAACGGGAUUAGAUACCCCGGUAGUCCUAGCUGUAAAGCAUGCGGGCCAGGUGUCUAGCGCUCCUCGAGGGCGCUAGGUGCCGGAGGGAAGCCGUUAAGCCCGCCGCCUGGGAAGUACGGCCGCAAGGCUGAAACUUAAAGAAAUUGGCGGGGGAGCACCACAAGAGGUGGGACCUGCGGUUC